CCUACGGGUGGCAGCAGUGGGGGAUAUUGCACAAUGGGGGCAACCCUGAUGCAGCGACGCCGCGUGGGUGAAGGAGCGUUUCGGCGCGUAAAGCUCUGUCGGUAGGGAAGAAGAUGACGGUACCUGACCAAGAGCCCCUGGCUAACUACGUGCCAGCAGCCGCGGUAAUACGUAGGGGGCAAGCGUUAUCCGGAUUUACUGGGUGUAACGGGGGCGCAGACGGCGAUGCAAGCCAGAUGUGAAAGCCCGGGGCCCAACCCCGGGAGUGCUAUUGAAACUGCAUGGCUGGAGUACAGGAGGGGAAGGCGGAAUUCCUAGUGUAGCGGUGAAAUGCGUAGAUAUUAGGAGGAACACCGGUGGCGAAGGCGGCCUGCUGGACUGUGACUGACGUUGAGGCCCGAAGGCGUGGGGAGCAAACAGGAUUAGAUACCCGUGUAGUC
rnacentral:rRNA from 1 species